rnacentral:rRNA from 1 species
GACGAACGCUGGCGGCGUGCCUAAUACAUGCAAGUCGAACGCAGUGGGGACGGGUGAGUAACACGUGGGUAACCUCCCAUCAGAGGGGAUAACACUUGGAAACAGGUGCUAAACCGAUACUGAUGGAUGAACCAGCGGUGCAUUAGCUAGUUGGUGAGGUAACGGCUCACCAAGGCAACGAUGCAUAGCCGACCUGUGAGGGUGUUCGUGCAAACUGGGACUGCAACACGGCCCAGACUCCUACGGUAGGCAGCAGUAGGGAAUCUUCGGCAAUGGACGAAAGUCUGACCGGUCAACGACGCGUGAGUGAAGAAGGUUUUCGGAUCGUAAAACUCUGUUGUUAGAGAAGCGGUAUCUAACCAGAAAGCCACGGCUAACUACGUGCCAGCAGCGGCGGUGAUUG